CACGUAGGGGGCGAGCGUUGUCCGGAAUUACUGGGCGCAAAGGGUGCGUAGGCUGCGAGACAAGUCGGGUGUAAAAGGCACGGGCUCAACCUGUGUGUGCACUCGAAACUGUUUUGCUGGAGGGAUAGAGAGGCAAGCGGAAUUCCCGGUGUAGCGGUGAAAUGCGUAGAUAUCGGGAAGAACACCAGUGGCGAAGGCGGCUUGCUAGCUAUACCCUGACGCUGAGGCACGAAAGCCAGGGGAGCGAACCGG
rnacentral:rRNA from 1 species